GAAGAAUUUGUAUGUUGUUAUUAAAUUUUUAUUUUGUUUUAUUUAUAUCGGACCACUUAGGGAAGACUUGAAUGGCCGUUGGCCAUAUUCCAUGUGUCCCAUGGAGAAAAGUAGGACGACUAGAAAACAAAAUGAAUUGAAUAAAAUAAAGUAGAGUAGGGCCCCAACAAGGUUUUCAGCGUGCAUGUAUAUUAAAAUACAUUAAUUUCCGAUUAAUGUCAUCUGCCCCACCUAAAUAAUGCAUGCAAUGUAAUAUUUCAGUACGAAUUUUCCUUUUUUUUGGAACAGAUGAUCAUGAUCACAAUGUUAAACAUAUGAUAUCUGAAUCAGCUGAGAUAUGUUUGAGACGGAUAUGGGGGUUCUUAUCUACCAGGUGGUGAAUGAUUCUGUCGGAAAAGUCCACUAUUAUAUGUAUGACGUUUGUUUUUCUUUUGUUUGAUUUUUUUUUUGUUUUUUUUUUUUUUGGUUUUUUUAUUUAUGUAAAUUGUGCUGACAGAUAUAUGUAAUAAUUUGCAGCAACCCGACAGUAUAUAUGUGGAGUUGAGACUUUUUAUUUUGCUUUUUAUUUUUUAUCUUUUAACUGCUGGAUAGGGUAAUUAAUGAUGAUAAAUAUGUUUGAGGUCAUUCUGCUUCUGGUUUUUGUUUUCAGAUAAGAGCUUUUCUAGAAUUAAAUAUAUGUAUGUGCUAGUUGUUAACAUUAUUUUUUUCAAGUAUCAUUAAUUCACGUUUGUAUCCUUCAUACCACACAGACCAUGCUUUUUUCUCCAAUUAAUUGGCUAAUCUCCUGUUUCUAUCUGUCCUUUCAAGGUUCUUCUUUUCACCAUUUAAUUUCUAGCUUUACUUAAACCCCACAAUUAAUGUAAGGUGUGGUUUUCCCAACUACCUAAUCUUGAUGCACAAUCUAGCACUAUUACUGUUCUAGUCAUCCUUACAAUUGUAUUUAUUAAAACAUGUCCUACUUAUUCAUGUAGUUUCAUUAUGCAUUUAUAGAAUAUUCUAAUUAUUAUUCUUUAUCCUUUUCCUGUGUAUAGGCUCCGUUAAAUUGUAUAUAUACAUGUUUAUUCAAUAAAUUGGUCAUUGCAAAGCCUAAUUAGUAGCAAAUUUUAUUUAUUUAUUGUUUUUUUUUGGACAACGAAAUCCAAUUGGAACCUCAUUUGAGAAAUCAUCCUAGAUUUUUAUUUCUUUCAUGGAGAAAAGACCCUUAUGCAUAACUAAGCACGUAGUAAAAUUAAGCCCUUAAAGAAUUAUAAAAAAUUAUUUAUCCAUAACUCGAUUACAAUAAUGUAUUUAGAUAUAUACUAAAUCACAGUGUGAAUAUUUGAUAAAUUUAUAUUUAUAUCUUCGAAAGGUCAUAGUUAUCCAUAACUAUGUCAGAACACGCAUAAGACUCCUAGCAGGGCCCAAGACUUGAAGAAGAAUUUGUAUGUUGUUGUUAAAAUUUUAUUUCAUUUUAUUUACAUCAGACCACUUAGGGAAGACUUGAAUGGCCAUUGGCCAUAUUCCAAUUGUCCCAUGGACAAAAGUACGACGACAAGAAAACAAAAUGAAUUGAAUAAAAUAAAGUGGAGUAAGGCCCCAACAAGGUUUUCGGCAUGCAUGUAUAUUAAAAUACAUUAAUUUUCGAUUAAUGUCAUCGGCCCCACCUAAAUAAUGGAUGCAAUUUGAUAUUUCAAUACCAAUUUUCCUUUUUUUUGGAACAGAUGAUCAUGAUCACAAUGUUAAACAUAUCAUAUCUGAAUCAGCUGAGAUAUGUUUGAGACGGAUAUGGGCGUUCUUACCUGCAAGGUGGUGAAUGAUUCUGUCGGAAAAGUCCACUAUUAUACGUAUGAUGUUUAUUUUUCUUUUGUUCGGAUUUUUAUUUUUAUUUUUUAUUUUUUUUUGGUUUUUUAUUUAUGUAAAUAGUUUUGACGGAUAUAUAUAAUAAUUUGCAGCAACCCAUCAGUUUAUAUGUGGAGGUGAGACUUUUUUUUUGUUUUUUAUAUUUUAUCAUUUAAUGGCUGGAUAGGAUAAUUAAUGAUGAUAAAUAUGUUUGAGGUCAUUUUGCUUUUGCUUUUUAUUUCAAAUAAGUGCUUGUCAAGAAGUAAAUAUAUGUAUGUGCCAGUUGUUAACAUUAUGUUUUUUCAAGUAUCAUUAAUUCACCUUUGUAUCUUUUAUACCCCAUAUACCGUGCUUUUUUCUCCAAUUAAUUGGCUAAUCUCCUUUUUCUAUCUGUCCUUACUAGGUUCUUCUUUUCACCAUUUAAUUUCCAGCUUUACGUAAACCCCACAAUUAAUGUAAGGUGUGGAUUUCCCAACAACCUAAUCUUGAUGCACAAUCUAUCACAAUUAUUGUUCUAGUCAUCCUUACAAUUGUACUUAUUAAAACAUGUCCUACUUAUUCAUGUAGUUUCAUUAUUCAUUUACAGAAUAUUCUAAUUAUUAUUCUUUAUCCUUUUGCCGUGUAUAGGCUUCGUUAAAUUGUAUAUAUACAUGUUUAUUCAAUAAAUUGGCCAUUGCAAAGACUAAUUAGUAACAAUUUUUUUUUAAAAUUUUUUUUUGGGACAUCGAAUUCCAAUUGGAACCUCAUUUGAGAAAUCAUCCUAGAUGUUUAUUUCUUUCAUGGAGAAAAGACCCUUAUGCAUAACUAAGCACAUCGUAAAAUUAAACCCAUAAGGAAUUAUAAAAAUUAAUUUAUCCAUAACUAGAUUACAAUAAUGUAUUUAGAUAUAUACUAAAUCUCAGUGUGAAUAUUUGAUAAAUUUAGAUUUAUCUCUUCAAAAAGUCAUAGUUAUCCAUAACUCUGUCAGAACAUGCAUAAGACUCCUCGCAGGGCCCAAGACUUGAAGAAGAAUUUGUAUGUUGUUGUUAAAUUUUUAUUUUAUUUUAUUUACAUCAGACCACUUCGAGAAGACUUGAAUGGCCAUUGGCCAUAUUCCAUUUGUCCGAUGAAGAAAAGCAGGUUGACUAGAAAACAAAAUGAAUUGAAUAAAAUAAAGUAAAGUAGGGCCCUAACAAGGUUUUCGGUGUGCAUGUAUAUUAAAAUACAUUAAUUUUCGAUUAAUGUCAUCUGCCCCACCUAAAUAAUGGAUGCAAUGUGAUAUUUCAAUACCAAUUUCUCUUUUUUUUAGAACAGAUGAUCAUGAUCACAAUGUUAAACAUAUGAUAUCUGAAUCAGCUGAGAUAUGUUUGAGACGGAUAUGGAGGUUCUUACUUGCAAGAUAAUCAUGAUCACAAUGUUAAACAUAUGAUAUCUGAAUCAGCUGAGAUAUGUUUGAGACGGAUAUAGAGGUUCUUACUUGCAAGGUGGUGAAUGAUUCUCUCCGAAAAGUCCACUAUUAUAUCAACCAGUCAGUUUAUAUGUGGAGGUGAGACUUUUUUUUUGUUUUUUAUUUUUUAUCUUUUAACGGCUGGAUAGGAUAAUUAAGGAUGAUAAAUAUGUUUGAGGUCUUUCUGCUUUUGCUUUUUGUUUUCAGAUAGGAGCUUUUCAAGAAGUAAAUAUAUGUAUGUGCCAAUUGUUAACAUUAUUUUUUUCAAGUAUCAUUAAUUCACCUUUGUAUCUUUCAUACCCCACAGACCAUGCUUUUUUCUCCAAUUAAUUGGCUAAUCUCCUAUUUCUAUCUGUCCUUACUAGGUUCUUCUUUUCACCAUUUAAUUUCUAGCUUUACUUAAACCCCACAAUUAAGGUAAGGUGUGGUUUUCCCAACUUCCUAAUCUUGAUGCACAAUCUUGCACUAUUACUGUUCUAGUCAUCCUUACAAUUGUACUUAUUAAAACAUGUCCUACUUAUUCAUGUAGUUUCAUUAUUCAUUUACAGAAUAUUCUAAUUGUUAUUCUUUAUCCUUUUGCCGUGUAUAGGCUUCAUUAAAUUGUAUAUAUACAUGUUUAUUCAAUAAAUUGGUCAUUGCAAGGACUAAUUAGGAGCAAAUUUUAUUUAUUUAUUUAUUUUUUUGGACAACGAAAUCCAAUUGGAACCUCAUUUGAGAAAUCAUCCUAGAUGCUUAUUUCUUUCGUGGAGAAAAGACCCUUAUGCAUAACUAAGCACGUAGUAAAAUUAAACCCUUAAAGAAUUAUAAAAAUUUAUUUAUGCAUAACUAGAUUACAAUAAUGUAUUUAGAUAUAUACUAAAUCUCAAUGUGAAUAUUUGAUAAAUUUAUAUUUAUCUCUUCAAAAAGUCAUAGUUAUCUAUAACUAUGUCAGAACAUGCAUAAGACUCCUAGCAGGGCCUAAGACUUGAAGAAGAAUUUGUAUGUUGUUAGUAAAUUUUUAUUUUAUUUUAUUUAUCUCGGACCACUUAGGGAAGACUUGAAUGGCCAUUGGCCAUAUUCCAUGUUUCCCAUGGAGAAAAGUAGGACGACGAGAAAACAAAAUGAAUUGAAUAAAAUAAAGUAGAGUAGGGCCACCAACAAGGUUUUCAGAGUGCAUGUAUAUUAAAAUACAUUAAUUUACAAUUAAUAUCAUCUGCCACACCUAAAUAAUGCAUGUUAUGUAAUAUUUCAAUGUCAAUUUUCUCUUUUUUUUUAACAGAUGAUCAUGAUCACAAUGUUAAACAUAUGAUAUCUGAAUCAGCUGAGAUAUGUUUGAGGCGGAUAUGGAGGUUCUUGCUUGCAAGGUGGUGAAUGAUUUUGUCGGAAAAGUCCACUAUUAUAUCUAUGAUGUUCGUUUUUCUUUUGUUUGGUUUUUUCUUUUUUUUUUUGUUGGUUUUUUUAUUUAUGUAAAUUGUGUUGACGGAUAUAUAUAAUAAUUUGCCGCAACCCGUCAGUUUGUACGUGGAGUUGAGACUUUUUUGUUGUUUUUUAUUUUUAUCUUUUAAUGGCUGGAUAGGAUAAUUAAUGAUGAUAAAUAUGUUUGAGGUCAUUCUGCUUUUGCUUUUUGCUUUCAGAUAAGAGCUUUUCAAGAAGUAAAUACAUGUAUGUGCCAGUUGUUAACAUUAUUUUUUUCAAAUAUCAUUAAUUCACCUUUGUGUCUUUUGUAUCCCACAGACCAUGCUUUUUUCUCCAAUUAAUUGGCAAAUCUCCUGUUUCUAUUUGUGUAAAGCUUUAAAUUUAAAUAAAUAAUAA